GUCGAACGCUCCCAAUGGCGAGGACAGACGGGUGAGUAAUCCGUGGGAAAGGACAAAUGGUUCGGAAUAGCUCAGGGAAACUUGAGGUAAUACCGGUUACGCCCUUCGGGGGAAAGAUUCAUCGCCAUUGGAUGGGCCCGCGUAGGAUUAGCUAGUUGGUGAGGUAACGGCUCACCAAGGCGACGAUCCUUAGCUGGUCUGAGAGGAUGAUCAGCCACACUGGGACUGAGACACGGCCCAGACUCCUACGGGAGGCAGCAGUGGG
rnacentral:rRNA from 1 species